rnacentral:lncRNA from 1 species
UUUGUUAAUUUUUUCCGUUUACUUGAUAAAUGAUGAAAGCUGUAAAAUGUAGAAAAUAAAAAACAUGGUGAAAUGUCCUGGUUUCCCUCACAAUCCGAGAGUACUCCACCCCCUUUCAACAUGAAAGAGAUUUUAUUAUUGUUAGAUCUUUAGACAAGACACCUUGGUCUCUCUAUACAAGACUCUAACUUAAUCCACCAAGAAC